rnacentral:rRNA from 1 species
UACGUAGGUGGCAAGCGUCAUCCGGACUUAUUGGGCGUAAAGAGCGCGCAGGUGGUUGAUUAAGUCUGAUGUGAAAGCCCACGGCUUAACCGUGGAGGGUCAUUGUAAACUGGUCAGCUUGAGUGCAGAAGAGGGAAGUGGAAUUCCAUGUGUAGCGGUGAAAUGCGUAGAGAUAUGGAGGAACACCAGUGGCGAAGGCGGCUUCCUGGUCUGUAACUGACACUGAGGCGCGAGAGCGUGGGGAGCAAACAGG